UGGGGCAGCUGGAAGGAAUGAGAUUGCGUGAGAUCUGCGCUCUUCUCGGAUUUCUCAUCGAGAAUAUCGGCCGCGAUCGGCAGGAUUACGGCAUGGCAGGCAAGAGCGUGUCCCGAUUGCGGUGGAAAUCACGGCCAAUCUUCUCAGCAUUCACCUAAGAGAUCCUUCGAUGAGGGACAACAUUCCAGAGAAUUUAGUUCUCUCCGAACAGCUGCUGCGAUUGAUGUACGCAAUGUCGAUAAUGAGGCUGAUCAAUGGCGUAGUAGACGAUAAGAAGACUUCCCGCAGCUCCGUAGCCAUAGACGAAAGCGUCGCUGGAGUAAGCCAUGAGACUGCCGUCGUCCUGACGAACCUAGUAACAAAAGAAGCUGCCUGAAUACAAGCUUUCAAGAACAAGGCAUGAAACAAACCUGAGAACAGGUGGCCGCAACACCAACGGAAGGCUCAAGACGAAGGAGAAACACUCGAGCAUGGCAAGAACCUGCAUGGUGCACUUCAGUCAGCACUAGAAUAGCAUACCAUACGGUAACGCGAACCUGUGUAAAGA